GCACAUUUUGUCGCGGAAAAGUUCCAAAAUUUCUCUUUGAUACAUGCAUGCGGUGCUCCAAGAAUUCAAUAUACCGACCUGUUUUGAAGAAUUGCACGUCGAUCGCUCCUCCGCCAUCACCAAGGACGUGGGGGCUGCCGUAUAGAGCUGCUACUGGGAAGAGCUUUUUGACUGGAAAAUGACCUGGCGGAAGCUGAACGGUUUGGACGAGUUGGAAGAGUGAGUUUGCAGUGACGACGUAGAGACACGAUGCUUGCCUUUCAUCAAAACCAGCAUUUCAGCUACAAGUCUUUCUUUCCCGACCCCGAUCAUAACUGCAACUGUAACAACUGCAUUGGCCGUGACAGGUAGUCGAUGCCACGGUGGAUCACCCUGGACCAUCAUUUUCGUCGCCCUUUGUUCUCCCUACGGAGCUGGAGCAUCAUCUUCA